rnacentral:tRNA from 1 species
AGCUUUGAGGUGUUUUACAUGUUGGAUUGCAAAUCCAAAGUUGUAGAUUAAUAAUCUACCGGAGCUU